rnacentral:rRNA from 1 species
CCUACGGGUGGCAGCAGUGAGGAAUAUUGGUCAAUGGACGAGAGUCUGAACCAGCCAAGUAGCGUGAAGGAUGACUGCCCUAUGGGUUGUAAACUUCUUUUAUAUGGGAAUGAAAUGUUCCACGUGUGGGAUUUUGUAUGUACCAUAUGAAUAAGGAUCGGCUAACUCCGUGCCAGCAGCCGCGGUAAUACGGAGGAUCCGAGCGUUAUCCGGAUUUAUUGGGUUUAAAGGGAGCGUAGGUGGAUUGUUAAGUCAGUUGUGAAAGUUUGCGGCUCAACCGUAAAAUUGCAGUUGAAACUGGCAGUCUUGAGUACAGUAGAGGUGGGCGGAAUUCGUGGUGUAGCGGUGAAAUGCUUAGAUAUCACGAAGAACUCCGAUUGCGAAGGCAGUUCACUGGACUGCAACUGACACUGAGGCUCGAAAGUGUGGGUAUCAAACAGGAUUAGAUACCCGUGUAGUC